rnacentral:lncRNA from 1 species
ACUGAAGCCAAAUCUAUUGCAAAAACUUAGAACAUAAUUUUUCUCCUUUUUGAUAAUAUUCAAUGAGAAACAACACUCAGAAUUUUUUUUCCAUGAGAAAGGUACUGCAAUAUCCUC